rnacentral:rRNA from 1 species
AACGAACGCUGGCGGCAGGCUUAACACAUGCAAGUCGAACGAGAUCUUCGGAUCUAGUGGCAGACGGGUGAGGAACACGUGGGAACAUCCCUUUCAGUUCGGAAUAACGUUGGGAAACUAACGCUAAUACCGGAUACGUCCUUCGGGAGAAAGAUUUAUCGCUGAAAGAUUGGCCCGCGUCUGAUUAGCUAGUUGGUGAGGUAAUGGCUCACCAAGGCUACGAUCAGUAGCUGAUCUGAGGGGAUGAUCAGCCACAUUGGGACUGAGACACGGCCCAAACUCCUACGGGAGGCAGCAGUGGGGAAUAUUGGACGAUGGGCGCAAGCCUGAUCCAGCCAGGCCGCGUGAGUGAUGAAGGCCUUCGGGUUGUAAAGCUCUUUUAUCCGGGAAGAUAAUGACUGUACCGGAAGAAUAAGCCCCGGCAAACUUCGUGCCAGCCGCCGCGGUAAUAC